UACGUAGGGGGCGAGCGUUAUCCGGAUUCAUUGGGCGUAAAGCGCGCGUAGGCGGCCCGUCAAGCGGAACCUCUAACCCGAGGGCUCAACCCCCGGUCGGGUUCCGAACUGGCAGGCUCGAGUUUGGUAGAGGAAGAUGGAAUUCCCGGUGUAGCGGUGGAAUGCGCAGAUAUCGGGAAGAACACCGAUGGCGAAGGCAGUCUUCUGGGCCAUCAACUGACGCUGAGGCGCGAAAGCUGGGGGAGCGAACAGG
rnacentral:rRNA from 1 species